AUUGAACGCUGGCGGCAUGCUUUACACAUGCAAGUCGAACGGCAGCGCGGGCUUCGCCCUGGCUGCGGGUGGCGAACGGGUGAGUAAUACAUCGGAACGUGCCCAGUUGUGGGGGAUAGCUCGGCGACAGCCGGAUUAAUACCGCAUACGACCUGAGGGUGAAAGCGGGGGAUCUUCGGACCUCGCGCUCUUGGAGCGGCCGAUGGCCGAUUAGCUAGUUGGUGGGGUAAAGGCCUACCAAGGCGACGAUCUGUAGCUGGUCUGAGAGGACGACCAGCCACACUGGGACUGAGACACGGCCCAGACUCCUACGGGAGGCAGCAGUGGGGAAUUUUGGACAAUGGGCGAAAGCCUGAUCCAGCAAUGCCGCGUGUGUGAUGAAGGCCUUCGGGUUGUAAAGCACUUUUGGCGGGAACGAAAAGGACUGUGCCAAUACCACGGUGCGAUGACGGUACCCGCAGAAUAAGCACCGGCUAACUACGUG
rnacentral:rRNA from 1 species